CCUCUCGUGGUGUAGGGGUAGCGCGCCCUAUCUAUUGAGCAGGGAGUCGUGAGUUAGAUUCUCACCGAGAAGA
rfam:Aedes aegypti strain Liverpool supercont1.224 genomic scaffold, whole genome shotgun sequence.